UACGUAGGGUGCAAGCGUUAAUCGGAAUUACUGGGCGUAAAGCGUGCGCAGGCGGUUCGGAAAGAAAGAUGUGAAAUCCCAGAGCUUAACUUUGGAACUGCAUUUUUAACUACCGAGCUAGAGUGUGUCAGAGGGAGGUGGAAUUCCGCGUGUAGCAGUGAAAUGCGUAGAUAUGCGGAGGAACACCGAUGGCGAAGGCAGCCUCCUGGGAUAACACUGACGCUCAUGCACGAAAGCGUGGGGAGCAAACAGGAUUAGAUACCCUGGUAGUCCACGCCCUAAACGAUGUCAACUAGCUGUUGGGGCCUUCGGGCCUUGGUAGCGCAGCUAACGCGUGAAGUUGACCGCCUGGGGAGUACGGUCGCAAGAUUAAA
rnacentral:rRNA from 1 species